rnacentral:rRNA from 1 species
GGUUGAUCCUGCCAGUAGUUAUAUGCUUGUCUCAAAGAUUAAGCCAUGCAUGUCUAAGUACACACUCUCGAAUAGUGAAACCGCAAAAGGCUCAGUAUAUCAGUUAUGAUUUAUUAGAUCGUAUACAUAGUUACAUGGAUAACUGUGGUAAUUCUAGAGCUAAUACAUGCAAAUAAUCACGGACCGCAAGGAACGUGUGCUUUUAUUAGAUUAAAAUCAAUCGAUACAUUAAGGUAUAUUUAUAUACUGUAUCGUUAAUAAGAUGAAUCUGAAUAACAUGUAGAUCGCAUGGU